CAGAAUUGACAUAGUGAGGAGCCGUCUGGGCAUCAACUUCUGCAGAGAGAAGAUUUAGCUGGACCUGGUGUAAAAGAACUAGGUAUCAGAUAGAAGUCCACCAUGGACAUAAAGGUCUCUAAUACACAACAGGAGACUAGUGGAUCAUCCCCGGCAAAGUGGGCAAAAAUCCCUUAUGAGGACCAGCUGAGUUUCCUGCAACCAAGCAGACAACUUCGGCCAACAAGUGGAAAUUACCAGGUGGAAAAACCCGCUGAAGAAGAGGCAUCCUACUAAAGGAUAUUACUCCAAGUGCAUCAGGAACAACAACUCCAAUUCCGGAAACUUCAACAGAGAGUGAUGGAAGAGAGAAAAAUCCUGGUAAAGAUGCUCCGGGUUCCUCCUAAACUCCUACCUCACAGGAGACCAACCCUCCUUCAUCCUAGUCUACCCAAUGUCGUCCCCGUCGUACCCUCCGGAGAAGAGAUAAACAGUUGGAAGUAGAAGAACCAGCUUUAUCUCUUAUCCGGAGGGUCGACGGGAGCGAUGAAUGUGAUUACUUCUCGUAUACACUGGCCACACAUUGUCGGAAAAUCCCAAACGCUAAUCGACAAGAUUUUAUGUCCUAUUGUUUUGCUGCAGCAAUGGUGUUUGCCUCUGGUGAUACUCUUCCUCCAGUAGAGGAUUUAGUUAAAGACCUAAAAAUUUUAAGGGGU